UGGAACUCAAAUUAAUAGACUUUGGUGGCAGUUGCCUCGUCAAUCCUUCUGGCUUUGAAAAUGGACAUUUAGGAGGUUGCCGCCCACCUGAGUACCCAAGUGAAUAUCACGCAGGCCCAACAACAGUCUGGAGUCUGGGCGCCGUGCUUUACUCAAUGGUCACUGGAAAUAAGCCUUUUAAGACUGCAUUUGACAGAAUGAUAGCCAAUGUGACGAUCGACCACACAUUAUCCAGAGAAUGCCAGGAUUUGAUAAACCGGUGCCUGACUCGUGAUCCUGCAGAGAGAGCAACUUUAGAGGAGAUCUUACAGCAUGAAUGGUUUCAACAGGGACAAAUGUCAGGAAUAGCUCAGGAGUCAGGUAGUGUAACAUAGGGAAGGCAGAAGAGAAAUCCGAAAUUAUUUUUAUGAAAAAGCAAGCAGUGCUUCAAUUUUUCUUUACAUGUAUUAAUUUGGAAGAUGCUCCAAAUCAGCCCCAGUGAGGAAAAACAGCACAAACCAUUCAGCUUCAGAGGGUCAAGUUUAGUUAAACAUUA